rnacentral:rRNA from 1 species
GAGGGGGAUAACACUUGAAAACAGGUGCUAAUACCGCAUAACCAUAGUUACCGCAUGGUAACUAUGUAAAAGGUGGCUAUACUACCGCUUUUGGAUGGGCCCGCGGCGCAUUAGCUAGUUGGUAGGGUAAAGGCUUACCAAGGCAAUGAUGCGUAGCCGAAUUGAGAGGUUGAUCGGCCACAUUGGGACUGAGACACGGCCCAAACUCCUACGGGAGGCAGCAGUAGGGAAUCUUCCACAAUGGGCGAAAGCCUGAUGGAGCAACGCCGCGUGGGUGAAGAAGGUCUUCGGAUCGUAAAACCCUGUUGUUAGAGAAGAAAGUGCGUGAGAGUAACUGUUCACGUUUCGACGGUAUCUAACCAGAAAGCCACGGCUAACUACGUGCCAGCAGCCGCGGUAAUACGUAGGUGGCAAGCGUUAUCCGGAUUUAUUGGGCGUAAAGGGAACGCAGGCGGUCUUUUAAGUCUGAUGUGAAAGCCUUCGGCUUAACCGGAGUAGUGCAUUGGAAACUGGGAGACUUGAGUGCAGAAGAGGAGAGUGGAACUCCAUGUGUAGCGGUGAAAUGCGUAGAUAUAUGGAAGAACACCAGUGGCGAAAGCGGCUCUCUGGUCUGUAACUGACGCUGAGGUUCGAAAGCGUGGGUAGCAAACAGGAUUAGAUACCCUGGUAGUCCACGCCGUAAACGAUGAAUACUAAGUGUUGGAGGGUUUCCGCCCUUCAGUGCUGCAG